GACAGAGGGUGCAAACGUUGUUCGGAAUUACUGGGCGUAAAGCGCGUGUAGGCUGCUCAGCAAGUCGGAUGUGAAAGCCCUGGGCUUAACCCAGGAAGUGCAUUCGAAACUUCUGAGCUUGAGUUCUGGAGAGGAAGGCGGAAUUCUCGGUGUAGAGGUGAAAUUCGUAGAUAUCGAGAGGAACACCGGUGGCGAAGGCGGCCUUCUGGACAGUGACUGACGCUGAGACGCGAAAGCGUGGGGAGCAAACAGG
rnacentral:rRNA from 1 species